rnacentral:rRNA from 1 species
AACGAACGCUGGCGGCAUGCCUAACACAUGCAAGUCGAACGAGACCUUCGGGUCUAGUUGCGCACGGGUGCGUAACGCGUGGUAACCUGCCCUUAGGUUCGGAAUAACUCCCCGAAAGGGGUGCUAAUACCGGAUAAUGUCUUCGGACCAAAGAUUUAUCGCCUUUGGAUGGGCCCGCGUUGGAUUAGCUAGUUGGUAGGGUAAAAGCCUACCAAGGCGACGAUCCAUAGCUGGUCUGAGAGGAUGAUCAGCCACACUGGGACUGAGACACGGCCCAGACUCCUACGGGAGGCAGCAGUGGGGAAUAUUGGACAAUGGGCGAAAGCCUGAUCCAGCAAUGCCGCGUGAGUGAUGAAGGCCUUAGGGUUGUAAAGCUCUUUUACCCGGGAUGAUAAUGACAGUACCGGGAGAAUAAGCUCCGGCUAACUCCGUG